rnacentral:rRNA from 1 species
ACGUAAUAGAUACCCUGGUAGUCCACGCCCUAAACGAUGUCUACUAGUUGUUGGUGGAGUAAAAUCCAUGAGUAAACGCAGCUAAACGCGUGAAGUAGACCGCCUGGGGAGUACGGUCGCAAGAUUAAAACUCAAAGGAAUUGACGGGGGCCCGGCACAAGCGGUGGAUUAUGUGGAUUAAAUUCGAUGCAACGCGAAAAACCUUAACCUGGCCUUGACAUGCCACUAACGAAGCAGAGAUGCAUUAGGUGCCCGUAACGGGAAAGUGGACACAGGUGCUGCAUGGCUGUCGUCAGCUCGUGUCGUGAGAUGUUGGGUUAAGUCCCGCAACGAGCGCAACCCUUGCCAUUAAUUGCCAUCAUUU